CGGAGGUGAGGGUUGGGUAUCCCACUGCAAGUGGAGCAGCCAGAAGGGCAACGUCUACUACGUGGCUCUCAGAGCCGUAGAUGACCAUGGAAACACAAGCCCUGUGUCCAACCUGGCAAGAUUCUCUAUACCUCUUCCCUCACUAGAGUGGUUGAUGCCCUCUGAAAGGCAAGUGACUAUGGUGGAGGGCUCUGACGGAGACUCAGAAGCCGCAGCAGGUCAUCGAAUUCUUGGAGGUAGCGCAGGAGAGGGUCCCACAACGAUGCACACGGCUCAUGACGCCAGCUUGACGAGGUCUCCAGAGGAUCACAGUCGCUCUUCGCCAGAG